rnacentral:lncRNA from 1 species
ACCAAUAAGAUCAUGGGUUGGUUCCUUAUUGGAAGCUUACAUACAUGCAUGGGGAAAAACAUGCAAAAUCAGCUUUCAGGUGCGCCAGCUUCUUUUGAAAACACAGCCAAGUUAAAUUCUCCUACUUGUUGCCCUACUUACUUUCUAGUCAACAAUAUUGGGAAGACAACAGAUACUGCUUUAAAGGGAGCACAUCUGGAAGUGCAGAUAUCUUGAGACACCCACCAAUCUACUCUUCCUCGGCCUCGUACUCGUCGUCAUCGUCGUCGUCGUCAUCGUAUUCAUCAACAUCAUCAUCAUCUUGAGUACUAGCAGCUUUACGGCGGAAGCUGUCCAUCUCGUACCUCCCGUCGUCCUCGUUGAUGAACUCCAGACCAUACACCGCAUCCCUGUGCUUCACUACCAACCAGCGAAGCAGCCGGUCCUCCUUGUUUAGAUAGUGCAGUUCUUUAGUAAAGGAAGGUGGCACCAUCAUGGUCAUUUGCACAAGUUGACCCUGAAAGCACAACGGCACAUAAGCAAACCAGGAGACCACACACAAUGCAAUUCAUCAGUUUGCACUUUAUGCUGCAAUGCUAGACGAAAGGAAAGAUGACAAUGAACAACGAUUGGAAUUUAACACUACUUAACCAGGUGUGUAUCAGAACAAUUCUCAAAUGCAUUGAGAUGCAUUCCGUGUGCCUCCCAGAUGCUUUGGCCAUUUUUCUAUGGGUGCUGUAAUUUACUUUUCUCACUAUUUGGUCCAAGGUUUAUNNNNNNNNNNNNNNNNNNNNNNNNNNNNNNNNNNNNNNNNNNNNNNNNNNNNNNNNNNNNNNNNNNNNNNNNNNNNNNNNNNNNNNNNNNNNNNNNNNNNNNNNNNNNNNNNNNNNNNNNNNNNNNNNNNNNNNNNNNNNNNNNNNNNNNNNNNNNNNNNNNNNNNNNNNNNNNNNNNNNNNNNNNNNNNNNNNNNNNNNNNNNNNNNNNNNNNNNNNNNNNNNNNNNNNNNNNNNNNNNNNNNNNNNNNNNNNNNNNNNNNNNNNNNNNNNNNNNNNNNNNNAUUCUCACGGUGCUGCAUUUCAUUUUCAAACUGUUUGGUUGAAGGUUUUAUCGAAGAGUUGCAGGAAAAAAAAUGUUUACACCCAGACUGCUACUGGGUCCAUCACAAUUUGGUACAGGUGGAAAGUUACAACCAGUUAACUGAUGCAUCACUGCAAUCCUUAGUCAGACUGACAUAGCACUCACUGUAUGGAAGUUGACGAGUUAUUUCAAAACAAAGGCUGAACUACAAACUUCAAAAGACGAGGAUGCGAUAAUACAAGAUAUACUGGAAAUGGUGUGUUCACAAUUUGUCAAAGUUAAAGCGCAUUCCAAUCGGCCAACCACUGUUAAUUAUUCAGUAACUCACAAACUAAUCUCGCAUGAGAAGGUAAUGACUCAAGUCAGAUUCACUUACAAAAAGUGAGAUUGCAUGAAAAGAUACAGUAACAAAAAAACAUGGUAUAUAAGUGAGAAAGGAUAGCCUGCACAUCAAAGGAAAAAAAUAUAACCUCAAUAAUGAUCACUCAGAAGCCUGUAGAGUAAGGAACCCGAGAAGGCAUAAUGCCUCCAAAGUUCUGUUCAAGAACAUUAACAAUAUAUUGUUUUUCUACACUCCCCAAUAGUCUUUGUGACAGUGAUCAGCCCUUCUCCACUAAGAUGCUUGUGCUAAAAGUGUUACAGGGUCUCAACCUGAAAAUUGACAAAGCAGCCUUUAUCGAGGUCAAGAAUUUCAGGGCUGAGGCCUCGCGACGUGUUCCAACUGAACAUCCUGUCUCAGACAGGCUGACCAUGCUGCAAAGGUUGUCAUAAUGGCAGGUGUGUUCAAGCAAUGGGAAGAGUGAAACUUGUUCUCGAUAUAGAUAGCAAAAGUACUAUCUUUCCCUAAAUUCUUCUCCUGUGCAUGCUAUCUCGUGUUCCGUGAUUAGAAAAGACCUGUUUCUUGUCACCAAAUAAAGCCCUUGAGUGCUUCCAGAAGAAGCAAGCAGUGUCAUUCAGCUGCACGAUAAUAUCAAGGAUCUCCAAGGAUAUGGAGUAAAAAAAGGUGCUGAAACCGUCUUGAGUACAAAGAAUGUGGUCAUGAACAGGCUCAUACUUCCAGUGAUUCGACUCCUUGGGGUCCGUGACGUGCCUGCGUGUUGGCCAUUUGAACCGCCAAAGAAAUUAACACCACUGCUUGGGACAAAGAACCAUGUGCGGCACUGGAGGUGGGAGAAGCAGAGGUGUCAGCUAAGCUGGAGCUAUGGCGGCAGUGAUAUGUAAGCAAGCCCGAUUGGUGAGCUUGCCGGAACUGUGGUUGGUGGCCAAAGUGUGGCAGCCAAAAGGAUCGUAAAAAGGGGUGAGCAGAAGGGCAAUGCUAUACCAAGAAUACUUUUAAACCCCAGAAAAUCAAAGAUCCAAGCACCAUACCCUUCUAUUCAGUAUUCAAAGCAAACAGAUCACAGUGCGAGCCACUCGACCAGUGCAAUCCUGAGUUCUGAUUUAAAACACUAACUGGAAUCAAUAGAAUGAUCUGAACCUAAACAAAUUAUCUACUAAGGCACUCUAUCGAUGACACCGAGGUCAAUACCCACGAGCAUUCUAAAAACCAACGGCCAAACCUACUUGGACAUUUCAUCGAGCAUGUCAAAGGCACCACCCAUCACCAAGACCCAAAACGCUAAAGGCCUAAACACUCAUACCAACUUAAAUAUUUCUUCAUAUACGCACCAAUCUAGCCGAACGAAUCAGAUCGGCACGCUCCGCGCUGUCACGAGGCACAUCACACGGGGAAUACGAGGCUUUGAUCGAGGAGUACAAAUAACGAGUGGCAAACCGGGGCAGACCUGGAAGUGACGGCCGUCAAGCUUCCUGAUGCCGUAGCCGAGGUGCACUUUGCCAAAGGAUUUGAGCUCGGUGACAACGCCGUUGCGCUGGUAGGCGCGCCCCGCCACCCGCGCCACAAGCUCCGCUAUGGCCUCCUUGGUCACCAUCGGUUUCACCAUCAGCAUGCAGUCGUACAGCGGCAUCUUCCCCGCAACUCCUCUUUGCCUCUCCCUCGGCAAGCCUGUACCUCGCGCUCACUGGUUCUCUAAAAUGCACCGAUAUGGAUACGUGUAUCAGUAUCAGGCCGAGACGGAUAUGUAAAUUCAGAAUUUUUGAAAAGCGCCAAUACGGGGAUUCAUUUUAAUAUUUUUUGAUUCACAAAAAAAGUAUAGAAGCUAGGAUCAGAACAGCUGAUUAACUUCUUGUUUGCUCUACUGUGGAUGCCGAAGCAGCUCCAAGCCCCUCCAACUGACAAUGUUGAUGCCCUGUUCCAACUCCAAGUUCCAAAGUGGUAGAAUUAGACUUUCAGUAAGUGUAAAAUGAAUAUGGAGCAUCAAAUCAAAUCACUAGUUAGUUGUACAUCUAUCAUGGCAUAACACGAAAGGUGGAACCUGAAAAUCAGUCAGCUAACAUGCAAAAGGAGAAACAAUCUCUUUAAACGGCAAUAUUUUAGGUCUGACUGUUAAAAUCAACAACACAGCAUAACGGUAGCACUAUAUUCCCAAUCAUAAACAAGAUUUGGGAUGUCUAUCAUGCCAACAAUACCACUAGUACUAAUGUGCGCACCAAUUUCGGCCAGUAUAACCAAGACAAAGCUUGUGCUCUCUCAAAUUGCAUGUUACUGCUAAGCUUUGAUUUCAGGUGCAGAUAAAACAACUUAAUCUUUUUCCUUUUCAUAUAUCGUCAAUCAUUGCAUGUUUCACUGCUAACAUGUUUAAACCAAAAUAUUUGCUCAUCUAAAAAAACCAAGCUACGAGUUGUAAACAUUUGGCCCUACAAGCAUAUCACAAACGCCUAUGAAGCAAAAUGCUCUCACAUGUAAACUCGAAAAAUCAUGCAGCAAGUACUCAUCAGGAAAUAAUCAUCGUUAUAUAUAUCCUCACAAUAUCAGAUCUACAGCAAGUACCCACCCAAUACAAAAAUCAGGAAGGGAAAAACAUUGAAGAGGGGGAAAGGAGAGAGGAGGGGUGAGGGAGGAAGGAGGGAGGACGAAGGACGAAGGAGUGGUGGCUACCUGCUACCUGCUGCCUAUGGACUGGUAGAGCGGCUGCUCCAGGGAGGGAGGCGCUGCUGGGAUCCUGUACCGGCGGCGGGGCAGCGGAGGCUUCGGCCGGCAGUGGUGGCGGCGGCGGCGGGUAGGAACCCUAUACCUGUCGCGCUAGGGAAGGACUCUUGGGGGAGGGAGGCUCGCUUAAGGGCAGAGAUCAUCAGCCAUUCAAACGCGCCAUCCAACGGACGUCAUCCAUCCCAAGCAAAAGCCUCCCACACUCGAACGAGGCAUCCAGCCCAGUACAACCGAAACAAAGUUCAGUUUUUCAGCCUGUUUUCAGUCACUAAGAAAUACAAAUCCUCCCCUCUGAUCCGUUUUAAGAUGUACUAAAGCUGCGACAGUGUCCAAGGAUAAACUCUUGCAACGUUGGCAGCCUCCGCCUGAUACUAUGAUCAAGAUAAACUCGGAUGGAGCGUUCCAAGCGGGAGAAUCUCAUGCUGGAUGGGGGGUCAUUGCCAGAGAUGCAGAAGGAAACAUCGUCGCAGCCCGGGCCGGUCGCCAGGACAACGUGUGUGAUGCUUUCGGGGCCGGAGCACAUGCGAUGGCACAAGCUAUAGCCCUUGCUGCUGAUCUAGGCAUGCCACAUGUGAUCUUUGAGACCGAUUCCCAACUUCUGGCCGAUACCCUGGAUUUGCAGAAGGUCGACUCAUCACCUUAUACUGCAAUUAUUGAGGAUUCGAAACUCCAACUGAAGCUAUGGUUCUCCAAACAUGUAAUCUCUGCAUGUCGGCGUAGUGCAAACCAUGUAGCUCAUGAACUAGCAGCCAUUGGGCGCAUGUAUGACCCAAACCACUACAUAGAGUGGGAGUGCGAUGUACCAGCCCGCCCUUGUGAUUGUUUGUGCUCAAGGCGAUUUGCCUGAGCACCGUUAAGGUUCAAUAAAGCUUUGCUUUAACUCAAAAAAAAAAAAAACUGCGACAGUAAUAUGGAUCGCACGGAGUAACAUUUUUCCAGUCAGUUACCAAUACAAACAACAAUUUUUUUUUACAAAUUGCAGCGUUGUAUAAUGCCAAUGAUUAAUAUUUUUCAGUUAGUUAACAAACAGUUUUCUGGUUAACAAACAAUAGUGUGGAAGCUCUUUUAUUGCUAAGAUACACUCCCUCCGUUCCUAAAUAUAAGUCUUUUUAGAUAUUUUAAUAUAGACUACAUACAAAUGUAUAUAGAUAUACUUUAAAAUGUAGAUUCACUCAUUUUGCUCUGUAUGUAGUCCAUAUUAGAAUCUUUAAAAAGACUUAUAUUUAAAAACGGAGGGAGUAUAAGCUACCCAGUAGGUUCGAACAGCAUCAGUUUUUCAGUCUGUUAACAAACAAUAGCAAUUUUACUACUGAGAUACACAGCAGUUUUUCAAUCAGUUUUACUACUGUGAUAAGCAGCAGUUUUACAGACGAACAACAACAGUUUUAGUACUGAGAUAAGCAGUAGUUUUUCUGUCAGUUAGCGAACAUUAGUAGUUUUUCAGCAAGAUCUUUCAUGUAUACUUCCAUUGCAUAAACAUGAGCAGAAAUAAGCUAGUACAAUUUAGAAAAAUAGCGAAUCGAAAAAUUGCAGAGAAGCAACUCUUGUGUAAAACACUUUUCUUCAGAUUUCUUAAGAGACACGAGCCACUUAUCAUUGAAAUUCAAAAGCUCUUGUACAAUUUCAGAACAAAGUGCUAUUACUGAAACAAUGAUUCAAGUGAAGAAAUUUGGCCAUUUCCCUUGUACAAUUAGGUCACAAAUACUCAAGCCUAAUAAUUAGAGGUACACNNNNNNNNNNNNNNNNNNNNNNNNNNNNNNNNNNNNNNNNNNNNNNNNNNNNNNNNNNNNNNNNNNNNNNNNNNNNNNNNNNNNNNNNNNNNNNNNNNNNNNNNNNNNNNNNNNNNNNNNNNNNNNNNNNNNNNNNNNNNNNNNNNNNNNNNNNNNNNNNNNNNNNNNNNNNNNNNNNNNNNNNNNNNNNNNNNNNNNNNNNNNNNNNNNNNNNNNNNNNNNNNNNNNNNNNNNNNNNNNNNNNNNNNNNNNNNNNNNNNNNNNNNNNNNNNNNNNNNNNNNNNNNNNNNNNNNNNNNNNNNNNNNNNUAAAAAAAUUCCUACGCACACGCAAGAUCAUGGUGAUGCAUAGCACCGAGAGGGGAGAGUGUUGUCCACGUACCCUCGUAGACCGAAAGCGGAAGCGUUACACAACGCGGUUGAUGUAGUCGUACGUCUUCACGAUCCGACCGAUCAAGUACCGAACGUACGGCACCUCCGAGUUCAGCACACGUUCAGCUCGAUGACGUCCCUCGAACUCCGAUCUAGCCGAGUGUUGAGGGAGAGUUUCGUCAGCACGACGGCGUGGUGACGAUGAUGAUGUUCUACCGGCGCAGGGCUUCGCCUAAGCACCGCUACGAUAUUAUCGAGGUGGAUUAUGGUGGAGGGGGGCACCGCACACGGCUAAAAGAUCAAUGAUCAAUUGUUGUAAAUCAACUGCUCCUCCAGAAUGGCUGGUAAUACCACUUAAGGGCGGAUAGACUGUCCACCCAGUGCCGCUGCCCACUUCUACUAAGGUGUCUAUGGGGUGCCCCCCUGCCCCCGUAUAUAAAGGAGCAAGGGGGUGGAGAGGCGGCCGGCCAGGAGGGGGCGCGCCAGGAGGAGUCCUACUCCCACCGGGAGUAGGACUCCCUCCCUUCCUUGUUGGAUUAGGAGAAGGGGGGAAGGAGGAGGGAGAGAGGAAGGAAAGGGGGGGGCGCACCCCUCCUUGUCCAAUUCGGACUAGAGGGGGAGGGGGCACGCGGCCUGCCCUGGCUGCCCCUCCUCUUCUCCACUAAGGCCCAUGUAGGCCAAUUAAACCCCCGGGGGUGUUCCGGUAACCCCCGGUACUCCGGUAUAUAUCCGAUAACCCCCGGAACCAUUCCGGUGUCCGAAUAUAGUCGUCCAAUAUAUCAAUCUUCAUGUCUCGACCAUUUCGAGACUCCUCGUCAUGUCCGUGAUCCCAUCCGGGACUCCGAACUACCUUCGGUACAUCAAAACAUAUAAACUCAUAAUAUAACUGUCAUCGAAACUUUAAGCGUGUGGAACCUACGGGUUCGAGAACUAUGUAGACAUGACCGAGACACGUCUCCGGCCAAUAACCAAUAGCGGAACCUGGAUGCUCAUAUUGGCUCCCACAUAUUCUACGAAGAUCUUUAUCGGUCAAACCGCAUAACAACAUACGUUGUUCCCUUUGUCAUCGGUAUGUUACUUGCCCGAGAUUCGAUCGUCGGUAUCUCAAUACCUAGUUCAAUCUCGUUACCUACAAGUCUCUUUACUCGUUCUGUAAUACAUCAUCCCGCAACUAACUCGUUAGUUGCAAUGCUUGCAAGGCUUAUGUGAUGUGCAUUACUGAGUGGGCCCUAGAGAUACCUCUCCGACAAUCGGAGUGACAAAUCCUAAUCUCGAAAUACGCCAACCCAACAAGUACCUUUGGAGACACCUGUAGAGCACCUUUAUAAUCACCCAGUUAUGUUGUGAUGUUUGGUAGCACACAAAGUGUUCCUCCGGUAAACGGGAGUUGCAUAAUCUCAUAGUCAUAGGAACAUGUAUAAGUCAUGAAGAAAGCAAUAGCAGAAUACUAAACGAUCGUGUGCUAAGCUAACAGAAUGGGUCAAGUCAAUCACAUCAUUCUCCUAAUGAUGUGAUCCCGUUAAUCAAAUGACAACUCAUGUCUAUGGCUAGGAAACAUAACGAUCAACGAGCUAGUCAAGUAGAGGCAUACUAGAGACACUAUGUAUGUCUAUGUAUUCACACAAGUAUUAUGUUUCCGGUUAAUACAAUUCUAGCAUGAAUAAUAAACAUUUAUCAUGAUAUAAGGAAAUAAAUAAUAACUUUAUUAUUGCCUCUAGGGCAUAUUUCCUUCAGUCUCCCGCUUACACUAGAGUCAAUAAUCUAGAUUACAUAGUAAUGAUUCUAACACCCAUGGAGCCUUGGUACUGAUCAUGUUUUGCUCGUGGAAGAGGCUUAGUCAACGGGUCUGCAACAUUCAGAUCCGUAUGUAUCUUGCAAAUUUCUAUGUCUCCCACCUGGACUAGAUCCCGGAUGGAAUUGAAGCGUCUCUUGAUGUGCUUGGUUCUCUUGUGAAAUCUGGAUUCCUUCGCCAAGGCAAUAGCACCAGUAUUGUCACAAAAGAUUCUCAUUGGACCCGAUGCACUAGGUAUGACACCUAGAUCAGAUAUGAACUCCUUCAUCCAGACUCCUUCAUUUGCUGCUUCCGAAGCAGCUAUGUACUCCGCUUCACACGUAGAUCCCGCCACAACGCUUUGUUUAGAACUGCACCAACUGACAGCUCCACCGUUCAAUGUAAACACGUAUCCGGUUUGCGAUUUAGAAUCGUCCGGAUCAGUGUCAAAGCUUGCAUCGACGUAACCAUUUAUGACUAGCUCUUUGUCACCUCCAUAUACGAGAAACAUUCCUUAGUCCUUUUCAGGUAUUUCAGGAUGUUCUUGACCGCUGUCUAGUGAUCCACUCUUGGAUUACUUUGGUACCUCCCUGCUAAACUUAUAGCAAGGCACACAUCAGGUCUGGUACACAGCAUUGCAUACAUGAUAGAGCCUAUGGCUAAAGCAUAGGGAACAUCUUUCAUCUUCUCUCUAUCUUCUGCAGUGGUCGGGCAUUGAGUCUUACUCAACUUCACACCUUGUAACACAGGCAAGAACCCUUUCUUUGCUUGAUCCAUUUUGAACUUCUUCAAAACUUUGUCAAGGUAUGUGCUUUGUGAAAGUCCAAUUAAGCGUCUUGAUCUAUCUCUCUAGAUCUUGAUGCCCAAUAUAUAAGCAACUUCACUGAGGUCCUUCAUUGAAAAACUCUUAUUCAAGUAUCCCUUUAUGCUAUCCAGAAAUUCUAUAUCAUUUCCAAUCAGUAAUAUGUCAUCUACAUAUAAUAUCAGAAAUGUUACAGAGCUCCCACUCACUUUCUUGUAAAUACAGGCUUCUCCAAAAGUCUGUAUAAAACCAAAUGCUUUGAUCACACUAUCAAAGCGUUUAUUCCAACUCCGAGAGGCUUGCACCAGUCCAUAAAUGGAUCGCUGGAGCUUGCACACUUUGUUAGCUCCUUUUGGAUCGACAAAACCUUCCGGUUGCAUCAUAUACAACUCUUCUUCCAGAAAUCCAUUCAGGAAUGCAGUUUUGACAUCCAUUUGCCAAAUUUCAUAAUCAUAAAAUGCGGCAAUUGGUAACAUGAUUCAGACAGACUUAAGCAUCGCUACGGGUGAGAAAGUCUCAUCGUAGUCAAUCCCUUGAACUUGUCGAAAACCUUUCGCAACAAGUCGAGCUUUAUAGACAGUAACAUUACCGUCAGCGUCAGUCUUCUUCUUCAAGAUCCAUUUAUUCUCAAUGGCUUGCCGAUCAUCGGGCAAGUCAACCAACGCCCACACUUUGUUCUCAUACAUGGAUCCCAUCUCAGAUUUCAUGGCCUCAAGCCAUUUUGCGGAAUCUGGGCUCACCAUCGCUUCUUCAUAGUUCGUAGGUUCAUCAUGGUCUAGUAACAUGACUUUCAGAACAGGAUUACCGUACCACUCUGGCGCGGAUCUUACUCUGGUUGAUCUACGAGGUUCAGUAACAACUUGAUCUGAAGUUUCAUGAUCAUCAUCAUUAACUUCCUCACUAAUUGGUGUACGUGUCAUAGAAACCGGUUUAUGUGAUGAACUGCUUUCCAAUAAGGGAGCAGGUACAAUUACCUCAUCAAGUUCUACUUUCCUCCCACUCACUUCUUUCGAGAGAAACUCCUUCUCUAGAAAGAUUCCAAAUUUAGCAACAAAAGUCUUGCCUUCGGAUCUGUGAUAGAAGGUGUACCCAACAGUCUUUUUUGGGUAUCCUAUGAAGACACAUUUUUCCGAUUUGGGUUCGAGCUUAUCAGGUUGAAGCUUUUUCACAUAAGCAUCGCAGCCCCAAACUUUAAGAAACGACAACUUUGGUUUCUUGCCAAACCACAGUUCAUAAGGCGUCGUCUCAACGGAUUUCGAUGGUGUCCUAUUUAACGUGAAUGCAGCCAUCUCUAAAGCAUAACCCCAAAACGAUAGCGGUAAAUCAGUAAGAGACAUCAUAGAUCGCACCAUAUCUAGUAAAGUACGAUUACGACGUUCGGACACACCAUUACGCUGUGGUGUUCCGGGUGGCGUGAGUUGCGAAACUAUUCCGCAUUCUUUCAAAUGAAGACCAAACUCGUAACUCAAAUAUUCUCCUCCACGACCUGAUCGUAGAAACCUUAUUUUCUUGUUACGAUGAUUUUCAACUUCACUCUGAAAUUCUUUGAACUUUUCAAAUGUUUCAGACAUAUGUUUCAUUAAUUAGAUAUACCUAUAUCUGCUCAAAUCAUCUGUGAAGGUGAGAAAAUAACGAUAUCCGCCGCGAGCCUCAACAUUCAUCGGACCACAUACAUCUGUAUGUAUGAUUUCCAACAAAUCUAUUGCUCACUCCAUAGUUCCGGAGAACGGCGUUUCAGUCAUCUUGCCCAUGAGGCACGGUUCGCAAGUACCAAGUGAUUCAUAAUCAAGUGGUUCCAAAAGUCCAUCAGUAUUGAGUUUCUGCAUGCGCUUUACACCGAUAUGACCUAAACGGCAGUGCACAAAUAAGUUGCACUAUCAUUAUUGAAGGAAAUAUGCCCUAGAGGCAAUAAUAAAGUUAUUAUUUAUUUCCUUAUAUCAUGAUAAAUGUUUAUUAUUCAUGCUAGAAUUGUAUUAACCGGUAACAUGAUACAUGUGUGAAUACAUAGACAAACAGAGUGUCACUAGUAUGCCUCUACAUGACUAGCUCGUUGAUCAAAUAUGGUUAUGUUUCCUAGCCAUAGAUAUGAGUUGUCAUUUGAUUAACGGGAUCAUAUCAUUAGGAGAAUGAUGUGAUUGACUUGACCCAUUCCGUUAGCUUAGCACACGAUCGUUUAGUAUUCUACUAUUGCUUUCUUCAUGACUUAUACAUGUUCCUAUGACUAUGAGAUUAUGCAACUCCCGUAUACCGGAGGAACACUUUGUGUGCUACCAAACGUCACAACGUAACUGGGUGAUUAUAAAGGUGCUCUACAGGUGCUUCCAAAGGUACUUGUUGGGUUGGCGUAUUUCAAGAUUAGGAUUUGUCACUCCGAUUGUCGGAGAGGUAUCUCUGGGCCCACUCAGUAAUGCACAUCACUAUAAGCCUUGCAAGCAUUGUAACUAAGUAGUUAGUUGCGGGAUGAUGUAUUACAGAACGAGUAAAGAGACUUGCCGGUAACGAGAUUGAACUAGGUAUUGAGAUACCAACGAUCGAAUCUCGGGCAAGUAACAUACCGAUGACAAAGGGAACAACGUAUGUUGUUAUGCGGCCUGACCGAUAAAGAUCUCCAUAGAAUAUGUGGGAGCCAAUAUGAGCAUCCAGGUUCCACUAUUGGUUAUUGACCGGAGACGUGUCUCGGUCAUGUCUACAUAGUUCUCGAACCCGUAGGGUCCGCACGCUUAAAGUUCGAUGACGGUUAUAUUAUGAAUUUAUGUGUUUUGAUGUACCGACGGUAGUUCGGAGUCCCGGAUGAGAUCAGGCACAUGACGAGGAGUCUCGAAAUGGUCGAGACGUAAAGAUCGAUAUAUUGGACGACUAUAUUUGGACAUCGGAAAGGUUCCGAGUGAUUCGGGUAUUUUUCGGAGUACCGGAGAGUUACGGAAAUUCGUAUUGGGCCUUAAUGGGCCAUACGGGAAAGGAGAGAAAGGCCCCAAAGGGUGGCCACACCCCUCCCCAUGGACUAGUCCGAAUUGGACUAGGGAGGGGGGGCGCCCCCUUCCUUCCUUCUCCUUCUCCCUUCCCUUCUCCUACUCCAACAAGGAAAGGAGGAGUCCUACUCCCGGUGGGAGUAGGACUCCCCACCUUGGCGCGCCCUCCUCCUUGGCUGGCCGCCUCCCCCUUGCUCCUUUAUAUACAGGGGCAGGGGGGCACCCCAUAGACACAACAAUUGAUCUCUUGAUCUCUUAGCCGUGUGCGGUGCCCCCUUCCACCAUAAUCCACCUCGAUUAUAUCGUAGCGGUGCUGAGGCGAAGCCCUUCGUCGGUAGAACAUCAUCAUCGUCACCACGCCGUCGUGCUAAUGAACUCUCCCUCAAAGCUCGGCUGGAUCGGAGUUCGAGGGACGUCAUCGAGUUGAACGUGUGCAGAACUCGGAGGUGCCGUGCGUUCGGUAAUUGAUCGGUCGGAUCGUGAAGACGUACGACUACAUCAACCGCGUUGUGCUAACGCUUCCGCUUUCGGUCUACGAGGGUAUGUAGACACACUCUCCCCUCUCGGUGCUAUGCAUCACCAUGAUCUUGCGUGUGCGUAGAAUUUUUUUGAAAUUACUACGUUCCCCAACAGUGGUAUCUGAGCCAGGUUUUAUGCGUAGAUGUCAUAUGCACGAGUAGAACACAAGUGAGUUGUGGGCGAUAUAAGUCAUACUGCUUACCAGCAUGUCAUACUUUGGCUCGGCGGUAUUGUUGGAUGAAGCGGCCCGGACCGACAUUACGCGUACGCUUACGCGAGACUGGUUCCUCCGACGUGCUUUGCACAGAGGUGGCUGGCGGGUGUCAAUUUCUUCAACUUUAGUUGAACCGAGUGUGGCUACGCCCGGUCCUUGCGAAGGUUAAAACAGCACCAAGUUGACAAACUAUCAUUGUGUUUUUGAUGCGUAGGUAAGAACGGUUCUUGCUAAGCCCGUAGCAGCCACGUAAAACUUGCAAUAACAAAGUAGAGGACGUCUAACUUGUUUUUGCAGGGCAUGUUGUGAUGUGAUAUGGUCAAAGCAUGAUGCUAAAUUUAUUGUAUGAGAUGAUCAUGUUUUGUAACCGAGUUAUCGGCAACUGGCAGGAGCCAUAUGGUUGUCGCUUUAUUGUAUGCAAUGCAAUCGCCCUAUAAUGCUUUACUUUAUCACUAAGCGGUAGCGAUAGUCGUAGAAGCAUAAGAUUGGCGAGACGACAACGAUGCUACGAUGGAGAUCAAGGUGUCGCGCCGGUGACGAUGGUGAUCAUGACGGUGCUUCGGAGAUGGAGAUCACAAGCACAAGAUGAUGAUGGCCAUAUCAUAUCACUUAUAUUGAUUGCAUGUGAUGUUUAUCUUUUAUGGAUCUUAUCUUGCUUUGAUUGACGGUAGCAUUAUAAGGUGAUCCCUCACUAAAUUAUCAAAGUAUAAGUGUUCUCCCUGAGUAUGCACCAUUGCGAAAGUUCUUCGUGCUGAGACACCACGUGAUGAUCAGGUGUGAUAGGCUCUACGUUCAAAUACAACGGGUGCAAAACAGUUGCACACGUGGAAUACUCAGGUUAAACUUGACGAGCCUAGCAUAUAACAGAUAUGGCCUCGGAACACGGAGACCGAAAGGUCGAGCGUGAAUCAUAUAGUAGAUAUGAUCAACAUAGUGAUGUUCACCAUUGAAACUACUCCAUCUCACGUGAUGAUCGGACAUGGUUUAGUUGAUAUGGAUCACGUGAUCACUUAAUUGAACUUAAAUUUAUCAUGAACUUAGUCCUGAUAGUAUUUUGCAAAUUAUGUUGUAGAUCAAUAGCUCGCGUUGUUGCUUCCCUGUGUUUAUUUUUGAUAUGUUCCUAGAGAAAAAUUAUGUUGAAAGAUGUUAGUAGCAAAGAUGCGGAUUGGAUCCGUGAUCUGAGGAUUAUCCUCAUUGCUGCACAGAAGAAUUAUGUCCUUGAUGCACUGCUAGGUGACAGACCUAUUGCAGGAGCAGAUGCAGACGUUAUGAACGUUUGGCUAGCUCAAUAUGAUGACCACUUGAUAGUUUAGUGCACCAUGCUUAACGGCUUAGAAUCGGGACUUCAAAGACGUUUUGAACGUCAUGGACCAUAUGAGAUGUUCCAGGAGUUGAAGUUAAUAUUUCAAGCAAAUACCCGAGUUGAGAGAAAUGAAGUCUCCAACAAGUUCUAUAGCUAAAAGAAGGAGGAGAAUAGCUCAAGCAGUGAGCAUGUGCUCAGAUUGUCUGGGUACUACAAUCGCUUGAAUCAAGUGGGAGUUAAUCUUCCAGAUAAAAUAAUGAUUGACAGAAAUCUCUAGUCACCAUCACCAAGUUAGUAGAACUUCGUGAUGAACUAUAGUAUGCAAGGGAUGACGAAAGUUAUUCCCGAGCUCUUCGUGAUGCUGAAAUCGACGAAGGUAGAAAUCAAGAAAAACAUCAAGUGUUGAUGGUUGACGAGACCACUAGUUUCAAGAAAAGGGCAAAGGGAAGAAGGGGAACUUCAAGAAGAACGGCAAGCAAGUUGCUGCUCAAGUGAAGAAGCCUAAGUCUGGUCCUAAGCCUGAGACUAAGUGCUUCUACUGCAAAGGGACUGGUCACUGGAAGCGGAACUACCCCAAGUAUUUGGUGGAUAAGAAGGAUGGCAAAGUGAACAAAGGUAUAUUGGAUAUACAUGUUAUUGAUGUGUACUUUACUAGUGUUUAUAGCAACCCCUCGGCAUUUGAUACUGGUUCAGUUGCUAAGAGUAGUAACUCGAAAUGGGAGUUGCAGAAUAAACAGAGACUAGUAAAAGGCGAGGUGACGAUGUGUGUUGGAAGGAGUUCCAAGAUUGAUAUGAUCAUCAUCGCACACUCCCUAUACUUUCGGGAUUAGUGUUGAAACUAAAUAAGUGUUAUUUGGUGUUUGCGUUGAGCAUGAAUAUGAUUUGAUCAUGUUUGUUGCAAUACGGUUAUUCAUUUAAAUUAGAGAAUAAUUGUUGUUCUGUUUACAUGAAUAAAACCUUCUAUGGGCAUACACCCAAUAAAAUGGUUUGUUGGAUCUCGAUCGUAGUGAUACACAUAUUCAUAAUAAUGAAGCCAAAAGAUGCAAAGUUAAUAAUGAUAGUGCAACUUAUUUGUGGCACUGCCGUUUAGGUCAUAUUGGUGUAAAGCGCAUGAAGAAACUCCAUACUGAUGGGAUUUUGGAAUCACUUGAUUAUGAAUCACUUGAUGCUUGCGAACCGUGCCUCAUGGGCAAGAUGACUAAAACGCCGUUCUCUGGAACUAUGGAGAGAGCAACAGAUUUGUUGGAAAUCAUACAUACAGAUGUAUGUGGUCCGAUGAAUAUUGAGGCUCGUAGCAGGUAUCAUUAUUUUCUGACCUUCACAGAUGAUUUGAGCAGAUAUGGGUAUAUCUACUUAAUGAAACAGAAGUCUGAAACAUUUGAAAAGUUCAUAUAAUUUCAGAGUGAAGUGGAAAAUCAUCGUAACAAGAAAAUAAAGUUUCUACGAUCUGAUCAUGGAGAAGAGUAUUUGAGUUACGAGUUUGGCCUUCAGUUAAAACAAUGUGAAAUAGUUUCACUACUCACGCCACCUGGAACACCACAGUGUAAUGGUGUGUCCGAACAUCGUAACCGUACUUUAUUAGAUAUGGUGCGAUAUAUGAUGUCUCUUACCGAUCUACCACUAUCGUUUUGGGGUUAUGCAUUAGAGACAGCUGCAUUCACGUUAAAUAGGGGACCAUCUAAAUCCGUUGAGACGACAUCUUAUGAACUGUGGUUUGGCAAGAAACCAAAGUUGUCGUUUCUUAAAAUUUGGGGUUGCGAUGCUUAUGUGAAAAAGUUUCAUCCUGAUAAGCUCAAACCCAAAUCGGAGAAAUGUGUCUUCAUAGGAUACCCAAAGGAGACAGUUGGGUACACCUUCUAUCACAGAUCCGAAGGCAAGACAUUCGUUGCUAAGAAUGGAUCCUUUCUAGAGAAGGACUUUCUCUCGAAAAAAGUGAGUGGGAGGAAAGUAGAACUUGAUGAGGUAAUUGUACAUGCUCCCUUAUUGGAAAGUAGUUCAUCGCAGAAACCAGUUUCUGUGACGCCUAUACCAAUUAGUGAGGAAGUUAAUGAUGAUGAUCAUGGAACUUCAGAUCAAGUUAUUACUGAACCUCGUAGGUCAACCAGAGUAAGAUCCGCACCAGAGUGGUACGGUAAUCCUGUUCUAGAGGUUAUGUUACUAGACCAUGACGAACCUACAAACUAUGAAGAAGCGAUGGUAAGCCCAGAUUCCGCAAAAUGGCUUGAGGCCAUGAAAUCUGAGAUGAGAUCCAUGUAUGAGAACAAAGUAUGGACUUUGAUUGACUUGCCCAAUGAUCGGCGAGCCAUUGAGAUUAAAUGGAUCUUCAAGAGGAAGACGGACGCUGAAAGUAGUGUUACUAUCUACAAAGCUAGAAUCGUCGCAAAAGGUUUUUGACAAGUUUAAGGUGUUGACUACGAUGAGAGUUUCUCACUCGUAUCUAUGCUUAAGUCUGUCCGAAUCAUGUUAACAAUUGCCGCAUUUUAUGAAAUCUGGCAAAUGGAUAAACAAAACUGCAUUCCUUAAUGGAUUAAUUAAAAAAGAGUUGUAUAUGAUGCAACCAGAAGGUUUUGUCAAUCCUAAAGGUGCUAACAAAAUAUGCAAGCUCCAGUGAUCCAUCUAUGGACUGGUGCAAGCAUCUCGGAGUUGGAAUAUACGCUUUGAUAAGUUGAUCAAAGGAUAUAGUUUUAUACAGACUUGCGGUGAAGCCUGUAUUUACAAGAAAGUGAGUGGGAGCACUACAACAUUUCUGAUAAGUAUAUGUGAAUGACAUAUUGUUGAUCGGAAAUAAUGUAGAAUUAUUCUGCAAAGCAUAAAGGAGUGUUUGAAAGGAGUUUUUCAAAGAAAGACCUCAGUGAAGCUGCUUACAUAUUGAGCAUCAAGAUCUAUAGAGAUAGAUCAAGACGCUUGAUAAGUUUUUUCAAUGAGUACAUACCUUAACAGGAUUUUGAAGUGGUUCAAAAUGGAACAGUCAAAGAAAGAGUUCUUGCCUGUGUUACAAGGUGUGAAAUUGAGUAAGACUCAAAGCCCGACCACGGCAGAAGAUAGAAAGAGAAUGAAAGUCAUUCCCUAUGCCUCGGCCAUAGGUUCUAUAAAGUAUGCCAUGCUGUGUACCACAUCUAUUGUAUACCCUACACUGAUUUUGGCAAGGGAGUACAAUAGUGAUCUAGGAGUAGAUUACUGGACAGCGGUCAAAAUUAUCCUUAGUGGAAUAAGAAUAUGUUUCUCGAUUAUGGAAGUGACAAAAGGUUCGUCGUAAAGGGUUACGUCAAUGCAAGUUUUGACACUAAUCUAGAUGACUCUAGGUCUCGGUCUAGAUACAUAUUGAAAGUGGGAGCAAGUAGCUAGAGUAGCUCCGUGCAGAGCAUUGUAGACAUAGAAAUUUGCAAAAUACUUACGGAUCUGAAUGUGACAGACCCGUUGACUAAAAUUAUCUCACAAGCAAAACAUGAUCACACCUUAGUACUCUUUGGGUGUUAAUCACAUAGCGAUGUGAACUAGAUUAUUGACUCUAGUAAACCCUUUGGGUGUUAGUCACAUAACGAUGUGAACUAUGGGUGUUAAUCACAUGGUGAUGUGAACUAUUGAUGUUAAAUCACAUGGCGAUGUGAACUAGAUUAUUGACUCUAGUGCAAGUGGGAGACUCAAGGAAAUAUGCCCUAGAGGCAAUAAUAAAGUUAUUAUUUAUUUCCUUAUAUCAUGGUAAAUGUAUUAACCGGAAACAUGAUACAUGUGUGAAUACAUAGACAAACAGAGUGUCACUAGUAUGCCUCUACUUGACUAGCUCGUUGAUCAAAGAUGGUUAUGUUUCCUAGCCAUAGACAUGAGUUGUCAUUUGAUUAACGGGAUCAUAUCAUUAGGAGAAUGAUGUGAUUGACUUGACCCAUUCCGUUAGCUUAGCACACGAUCGUUUAGUAUUCUACUAUUGCUUUCUUCAUGACUUAUACAUGUUCCUAUGACUAUGAGAUUAUGCAACUCCCGUUUACCGGAGGAACACUUUGUGUGCUACCAAACGUCACAACGUAACUGGGUGAUUAUAAAGGUGCUCUACAGGUGUCUCCAAAGGUACUUGUUGGGUUGGCGUAUUUUGAGAUUAGAAUUUGUCACUCCGAUUCUCGGAGAGGUAUCUCUAGGGCCCACUCGGUAAUGCACAUCACUAUAAGCCUUGCAAGCAUUGUAACUAAGGAGUUAGUUGCGGCAUGAUGUAUUACAGAACGAGUAAAGAGACUUGCCGGUAACGAGAUUGAACUAGGUAUUGAGACACCGACGAUCGAAUCUCGGGCAAGUAACAUACCGAUGACAAAGGGAACAACGUAUGUUGUUAUGCGGUCUGACCGAUAAAGAUCUUCGUAGAAUAUGUGGGAGCCAAUAUGAGCAUCCAGGUUCCGCUAUUGGUUAUUGACCGGAGACGUGUCUCGGUCAUUUCUACAUAGUUCUCGAACCCGUAGGGUCCGCACGCUUAAAGUUCGAUGACGGUUAUAUUAUGAGUUUAUGUGUUUUGAUGUACCGAAGCUAGUUCGGAGUCCUGGAUGAGAUCAGGGACAUGACGAGGAGUCUCGAAAUGGUCGAGACGUAAAGAUCGAUAUAUUGGACGACUAUAUUCGGACAUCGGAAAGGUUCUGAGUGAUUCGGGUAAUUUUUGGAGUACCGGAGAGUUACGGGAAUUCGUAUUGGGCCUUAAUGGGCCAUACGGGAAAGGAGAGAAAGGCCCCAAAGGGUGGCCGCACCCCUCCCCAUGGACUAGUCCGAAUUGGACUAGGGAGGGGGGGCGCCCCCUUCCUCCCUUCUCCUUCUCCCUUCCCUUCUCCUACUCCAACAAGGAAAGGAGGAGUCCUACUCUCACUGGGAGUAGGACUCCCCCCCUUGGCGCGCCCUCCUCCUUGGCCGGCCGCCUCCCCCCUUGCUCCUUUAUAUACGGGGCAGGGGGGCACCCCAUAGACACAACAAUUGAUCUCUUGAUCUCUUAGCCGUGUGCGGUGCCCCCCUCCACCAUAAUCCACCUCGAUUAUAUCGUAGCGGUGCUUAGGCGAAGCCCUGCGUCGGUAGAACAUCAUCAUCGUCACCACGCCGUCGUGCUGACGGAACUCUCCCUCAAAGCUCGGCUGGAUCGGAGUUCGAGGGAUGUCAUCGAGUUGAACGUGUGCAGAACUCGGAGGUGCCGUGCGUUCGGUACUUGAUCGGUCGGAUCGUGAAGACGUACGACUACAUCAACCGCGUUGUGCUAACGCUUCCGCUUUCGGUCUACGAGGGUACGUAGACACACUCUCCCCUCUCGUUGCUAUGCAUCACCAUGAUCUUGUGUGUGCGUAGAAUUUUUUUGAAAUUACUACGUUCCCCAACAAUUAUCAACUCUGCAUCUUUUGGCUUCAAUAUUAUGAAUAUGUGUAUCACUACUAUCGAGAUUCAAUAAAAAUAGACCACUGUUCAAGGGUGCAUGACCAUAAAAGAUAUUACUCAUAUAAAUAGAACAACCAUUAUUCUCUGAUUUAAAUGAAUAACCGUCUCGCAUCAAACAAGAUCCAGAUAUAAUGUUCAUGCUCAACGCUGGCACCAAAUAACAAUUAUUCAGGUCUAAAACUAAUCCCGAAGGUAGAUGUAGAGGUAGCGUCCUGAUCGCGAUCACAUCGACUUUGGAACCAUUUCCCACGCGCAUCGUCACCUCGUCCUUAGCCAAUCUUCGCUUAAUCCGUAGUCCCUGUUUCGAGUUGCAAAUAUUAGCAACAUAACCAGUAUCAAAUACCUAGGUGCUACUGCGAGCAUUAGUAAGGUACACAUCAAUAAUAUGUAUAUCACAUAUACCUUUGUUCACCUUGCCAUCCUUCUUAUCCACCAAAUACUUGGGGCAGUUCCGCUUCCAGUGACCAGUCUGUUUGCAGUAGAAGCACUCAAUCUCAGGCUUAGGUCCAGACUUGGGUUUCUUCUCCUGAGUAGCAACUUGUUUGCUGUUCUUCUUGAAGUUCCCCUUCUUCUUCCCUUUGCCCUUUUUCUUGAAACUGGUGGUCUUGUUGACCAUCAACACUUGAUGCUCCUUCUUGAUAUCUACCUCCGCAGCCUUUAAUAUUGCAAAGAGCUCGGGAAUUGUCUUAUCCAUCCGUUGCAUGUUAUAGUUCAUCACGAAGCUCUUGUAGCUUGGUGGCAGUGAUUGAAGAAUUCUGUCAAUGACGCUAUCAUCUGGAAGAUUAACUCCCAGUUGAAUCAAGUGAUUGUUAUACCCAGACAUUUUGAGUAUAUGCUCACUGACAGAACUAUUCUCCUCCAUCUUACAGCUGUAGAACUUAUUGGAGACUUCAUAUCUCUCAAUCCGGGCAUUUGCUUGAAAUAUUAACUUCAACUCCUGGAACAUCUCAUAUGCUCCAUGACGUUCAAAACGUCGUUGAAGUCCCGGUUCUAGGCUGUAAAGCAUGGCACACUGAACUAUCGAGUAGUCAUCAGCUUUGCUCUGCUAGACGUUCGUAACAUCUGUUGUUGCUCCUGCAGCAGGUUUGGCACCUAGUGCUGCUUCCAGGACGUAAUUCUUCUGUGCAGCAAUGAGGAUAAUCCUCAAGUUACGGACCCAGUCCGUGUAAUUGCUACCAUCAUCUUUGAACUUUGCUUUCUCAAGGAACGCAUUAAAAUUCAACGGUACAAUAGCACGGGCCAUCUAUCUACAACAACAUAGACAAGCAAGAUACUAUCAGGUACUAAGUUCAUGAUAAAUUUAAGUUCAAUUAAUCAUAUUACUUAAGAACUCCCACUUAGAUAGACAUCCCUCUAAUCCUCUAAGUGAUCACGUGAUCCAUAUCAACUAAACCAUGUCCGAUCAUCACGUGAGAUGGAGUAGUUUCAAUGGUGAACAUCACUAUGUUGAUCAUAUCUACUGUAUGAUUCACGCUCGACCUUUCGGUCUCCGUGUUCCGAGGCCAUAUCUGUUAUAUGCUAGGCUCGUCAAGUUUAACCUAAGUAUUCCGCGCGUGCAACUAUUUUGCACCCGUUGUAUUUGAACGUAGAGCCUAUCACACCCGAUCAUCACGUGGUGUCUCAGCACGAAGAACUUUCGCAACGGUGCAUACUCAGGGAGAACACUUAUACCUUGAUAAUUUAGUGAGAGAUCAUCUUAUAAUGCUACCGUCAAUCAAAGCAAGAUAAGAUGCAUAAAAGAUAAACAUCACAUGCAAUCAAUAUAAGUGAUAUGAUAUGGCCAUCAUCAUCUUGUGCUUGUGAUCUCCAUCUCUGAAGCACCGUCAUGAUCACCAUCGUCACCGGCGCGACACCUUGAUCUUCAUCGUAGCAUCAUUGUCGUCUCGCCAAUCUUAUGCUUCUACAACUAUCGCUACUGCUUAGUGAUAAAGUAAAGCAUUAUAGGGCGAUUGCAUUGCAUACAAUAAAGCGACAACCAUAUGGCUCCUGCCAGUUGCCGAUAACUCGGUUACAAAACAUGAUCAUCUCAUACAAUAAAAUUUAGCAUCAUGCCUUGACCAUAUCACAUCACAACAUGCCUUGCAAAAACAAGUUAGACGUCCUCUACUUUGUUGUUGCAAGUUUUACGUGGCUGUUAUGGGCUGAGCAAGAACCGUUCUUACCUAUGCAUCAAAACCACAAUGAUAGUUUGUCAAGUUGGUACUGUUUUAACCUUCGCAAGGACCCGGCGUAGCCACACUCGGUUCAACUAAAGUUGGAGAAACUGACACCCGCCAGCCACCUGUGUGCAAAGCACGACGGUAGAACCAGUCUCGCGUAAGCGUACGCGUAAUGUCGGUCUGGGCCGAUUCAUCCAACAAUACCGCCAAACCAAAGUGUGACAUGCUGGUACGCAGUAUGACUUAUAUCGCCCACAACUCACUUGUGUUCUACUCGUGCAUAUUACAUCAACGCAUAAAACCUGGCUCGAAUGCCACUGUUGGGGAACGUAGUAAUUUCAAAAAAUUUCCUACGCACACGCAAGAUCAUGGUGAUGCAUAGCAACGAGAGGGGAGAGUGUUGUCCACGUACCCUCAUAGACCGAAAGCGGAAGCGUUAGCACAAUGUGGUUGAUGUAGUCGCAUGUCUUCACGAUCCGACCGAUCAAGUACCGAACGUACGGCACCUCCGAGUUCAGCACACGUUCGGCUCGAUGACGUCCCUCCAACUCCGAUCCAGCCGAGUGUUGAGACAGAGUUUCGUCAGCACGACGGCGUGGUGACGAUGAUGAUGUUCUACCAACGCAGGCUUCGCCUAAGCACCGCUACGAUAUUAUCAAGGUGGAUUAUGGUGGAGAAGGGGGGGAGAGGCGGCCGGCCAGGAGGGGGCGAAGCAGGAGGAGUCCUACUCCCACCGGGAGUAGGACUCCCUCCCUUCCUUGUUGGAUUAGGAGAAGGGGGGAAGGAGGAGGGAGAGAGGAAGGAAAGGGGGGCGCCGCCCCCUCCUUGUCCAAUUCGAACUAGAGGGGAAGGGGGCGCGCGGCCUGCCCUGGCCGCCCCUCCUCUUCUCCACUAAGGCCCAUGUAGGCCCAUUAAACCCCGGGGGGGGGGGGGGUUCCGGUAACCCCCGGUACUCCGGUAUAUAUCCGAUAACCCCCGGAACCAUUCCGGUGUCCGAAUAUAGUCGUCCAAUAUAUCAAUCUUCAUGUCUCGACCAUUUCGAGACUCCUCGUCAUGUCCGUGAUCACAUCCGGGACUCCGAACUACCUUCGGUACAUCAAAACAUAUAAACUCAUAAUAUAGCUGUCAUCGAAACUUUAAGCGUGCGGACCCUAUGGGUUCGAGAACUAUGUAGACAUGACCGAGACAUGUCUCCGGCCAAUAACCAAUAGCGGAACCUGGAUGCUCAUAUUGGCUCCCACAUAUUCUACGAAGAUCUUUAUCGGUCAAACCGCAUAACAACAUACGUUGUUCCCUUUGUCAUCGGUAUGUUACUUGCCCGAGAUUCGAUCGUCGGUAUCUCAAUACCUAGUUCAAUCUCGUUACCAGAAAGUCUUUACUCGUUCUGUAAUACAUCAUCCCACAACUAACUCGUUAGUUGCAAUGCUUGCAAGGCUUAUGUGAUGUGCAUUACCGAGUGGGCCCUAGAGAUACCUCUCCGAGAAUCGGAGUGACAAAUUCUAAUCUCAAAAUACGCCAACCCAACAAGUACCUUUGGAGACACCUAUAGAGCACCUUUAUAAUCACCCAGUUACGUUGUGACGUUUGGUAGCACACAAAGUGUUCCUCCGGUAAACGGGAGUUGCAUAAUCUCAUAGUCAUAGGAACAUGUAUAAGUCAUGAAGAAAGCAAUAGCAGAAUACUAAACGAUCGUGUGCUAAGCUAACGGAAUGGGUCAAGUCAAUCACAUCAUUCUCCUAAUGAUGUGAUCCCGUUAAUCAAAUGACAACUCAUGUCUAUGGCUAGGAAACAUAACCAUCUUUGAUCAACAAGCUAGUCAAGUAGAGGCAUAUUAGUGACAAUCUGUUUGUCACUAGUAGAAAACAGGGCUUUGGUCACAGGGCAAUAUUAACAUUAGUCCCGGUUCAUGCGGCUAAGGCAUUAGUCCCGGUUCACCUGAGCCCUUUAGUCCCUGUUUGAGACACGAACCGGGACUAAAGGGUGCGAUGCCCUUUAGUCCCGGUUCGUGUCUCAAACCGGGACUAAAGAUUAGACCUUUAGUCCCGGUUUGAGACACGAACCGGGACUAAAGGGUGCCAUGCCCUUUAGUCCCGGUUCGUGUCUCAAACCGGGACUAAAGGGCUCAUUUUCAAACUCUACCCCCCCUGUGGAUCGCCUUUUCGGUUUUGUAAAAAGCAAAAGAAAAUGAUAAAAACUUCAAAAAUUAAAAUCCUUCCAGAUGUAGUUAUGUUACUACAUGUACUAGUUAGGAAAAUUUAAAAACUUAAAUUUGGACAUGUUUUGCAAAAAGUGUAGGGAAAAUGUAAAACGGCUAUAACUUUUGCAUACGAUAUAUCAAAAUGUUCAGCACGAUAAUCCGCAUCCGAUUUUGACUGCCUACGGCCUGUUUGCAAAUUUGUAGAAUCCUCAAAUUCUAAAAGGAAAAAAAGUUAUGCUCAAAUUUCUGUUUUUUUGAUUUUUUGUUAAAUCUGGUCAAACUAUGGUCAAACUACUUAUUCAAGAAGUAUUAAUGUUACUAAAUAAUUAUUCAAGAAUAUUAGUGUUACUAAAUAAUUAUUUCAGUUUUUUUGAAUUUUGGUCAAAUCUGGUCAAACAAUGGUCAAACUGUGGUCAAACAAUGGUCAAACUAAUUAUUCAAGAAUAUUAGUGUUACUAAAUAAUUAUUUCGGUUUUUUGAAUUUUGGUCAAAUCUGUUCAAACUAUGGUCAAACUACUUAUUCAAGAAAUAUUAGUGUUACUAAAUAAUUAUUUCAGUUUUUUUGAAUUUUGGUCAAAUCUGGUCAAACUGUGGUCAAAAUCUGGUCAAACUGUGGUCAAACUACUUAUUCAAGAAAUAUUAGUGUUACUAAGUAAUUAUUGUUUUUUAAAACAAUAGUUUCAAACUCAAACAGUGAAAUGUAUGACUUCAUGCUCAAGCUAAAUUCCUGAGGGUUAAUAGGAUUGACAUCUUACUAUUGUCAGGAAAACAACAAGUGCAGACUUGGAAACGAGGGAGAAUAGAAUCCGGAAGUUAAGCGUGCUCAGGCUGGAGUAGUUAGAUGAUUUGGAAUGAUGAGGGGUGAUUGGUGGUGAUUAGAGAUUAGAGGUUAAAAAAAAUUCAAAAAUUUGAAAAUCAAAAAAAAAAUUAUUUUUUUUAAAAAAAAAAAAUCAUAAAAUUUCCUUUAGUCCCCAACCGGGACUAAAGGUGGAGCUCCAGGCUGCGGCCACGUGGACGGCCUUUAGUCCCGGUUCGUGUAAGAACCGGGACUAAAGGGGGAGGCUUUAGUAACGACCCUUUAGUCCCGGUUCCAGAACCGGGACAAAAGGCCCUUAUAAACCGGGACAAAAGGCCCUUUAAUACAAUUCUAGCAUGAAUAAUAAACAUUUAUCAUGAUAUCAGGAAAUAAAUAAUAACUUUAUUAUUGCCUCUAGGGCAUAUUUCCUUCAGCAACAACCUCCUUUGCCCCCCAUGAAUAUUCUAGGACGCCCUUGAAUAGUAUGUUUGCAAUACAGAGCUGAAAUGCAACACUUCCCAUUCUUGACUGAACUGCACAACACCGGAAUGUAGUGUCAUUUAAGACAAUAGCUUGCUUCAUGCCAAGAACAGAGGAUUCAUAUGAUGCAGUAAUGAAUAAAAAUAAUCUGAGUACAUAUUGUCCUGCUUAGUGUUCUUGGCAAGAGUUAACCAAGGUCUUUUAUGGGCAUAGCGGUAGUAUUAUGGUAGUUUUAGUGAACAUGGUGAGAGUAAGUUAUGUAGACAUCAUGCUUCUUAGGUUUAAUUCUGUUGUUGUAUGUUCUGUGCUUAAGAGUGCAAAUUUUUACUACCGUGACAUCGUAAUGUAGGUGUUGUUUGUUGUUGUAUUAUUGGUGAAUACUAGCGGCCGUGGUAAACUCCAUGCCUUCGAAGCCCCCUUUUGGCUAAUAUUUUUGUCUCAUUACACUAUCUCUGACUUCCGGAUGCAUCUUCUUCCCCAGCUAAAUUGUCGUACUCACUUGGCAGUCCCAGAUCGAUGUUCUGGACUCUUGGUAUUCAGUCUGAGCAAGUAUGGUGCUCCAUGUUUGUUUAUUGGUGUCUACGCACAAAUAGAUGACAAUUCAUCAAGUGUCUUUACUAUUCAUAUUCACCACUAAUAUUUUAACUUUUUUUUUGCUUAAACUCUCAUAGGUGUAGCCUGCAAGCAUAACAAAAAUGGAUUCGUAUUUCAGAGUCGAUUCAUGCAUUGGCUUGUUACUUGGGGUCCACUGACUGUUUGAAUAUCAUAACUGCAGCUAGACUGACUAAAUGCACAUGCAACGUCAGAAGUAGAUGGUUCUCCCAACAACAGAUUAAAUGAAAAAUCAAUAUAUGUUGAAACAGAUAAUGCCAAAAACACACUGAGAUAUGAGAUGUGGGAUCACACGAAGUGUGAUAGAGGUGUAUGCAGACAUGGGUCAGCCUAUGUAGUUUUCAUGUCACAUAUCACUUCUAAUAUAGUAAUCUGAGCUCAAUUUUGUUUUAUCAGUUUAACUUCUGAGAAUUCUGAAACCUGCAAUUAGUUACUUAAUUUGGGACUUUGAUAAGUGUUACACGUGUGACACGAACACAUGGCAACUCCGAACGUUUUUUAUGACAAGUUUAGUGACGUGAGGAUGACAACUUAAGUUGUCAAGCAUGGCAACUUUCUUUUCACUAUACCAUGGCAAAAGUUUAGGGGCAAAUUAUCUGCCGGGAAUGAUACAGUAAAAGGGCAGCGUAUCUGCCGGCAAGUUCACGGUCAGUGUAACUGCCCUGGAAUCAAAACGAGGGCAAACGCUGCGUCGGUAAGCACGUUGGCGCGGGCUGAAUUCUUUUUGGCGCGAGGCUGGCGUGGGAAAAAUUGAAACAACAGAAGUUACUCGAAUCGUCUCCGUGCUAUGCGGCCCUAAUUAGGUACUCCUAUUUUUUUCCACAAAAGAGGUACUCCUAUUUUAUCCCGUUCCCCACCACUUCUUCUCUCACCCUGACCCAACCGCUGCUAACCCUAACAGCAACGCCGCCGCCGCCGCAUCCUGCAUCCACAAUGCCAAGCCCAGCGCCGCUGCCCCAUUCCCCAAUCACACCGCUGCCCUCACCGCCCCGCCGUCGCCACCCUACUUCCACAUCACGGCGCACGGCCCAUCCCCCAUCUUCGCCCCCACCCGCAUCCGCCACCCGCGCCGCCGUACGCCCCAUCCCCGAUCUUCGCCGCCGCGCCCGCGACCCCCAUCCCACGCUGCCACCCAUCCCCACCGACGCCGCCACACUAGUAUCCCCCACCAACGCCGCCGCCCCAUCCCUAUUCAGGCGGCCGCAGCAACAACCCCGCGGACACACCUACCACCUACGGGCCCCCUGUUUCGCCCCUCACACAGCAGCACCGCAUCUCCUCAGUGCCUGCUCCAUACUGCGUAUCACAUCCUCUCCAUUUGCACUCCCCACAAAUCAGUGGGAGGACGUGCCCAUCUGAAGCAGCAGUAGUAGCAGAACAAGUAGCUACUGCACCGCUUACCUCUGUUUGUGCUCCCCCAGUUUCUGAAGAGGUAUGCAUUUAGAAGUUUCAGUUGUGUGGUUUCGAAUUUUGAACCAUGUUUUGUUGUGCUGUGACAUCCAAGGAUUUUUAGUUCUUCUAAGGUAGUAAAUUUGGCUGGGAGCUAUGAAUCUAAUAGAUGAUGGUAAGGAACAAUGUGUGAUAAGUUAAUACGACAGUCAUGAGAUAAAGGAUAUUUCUUUUGCUGGGAAUCCAAGUGGCUAUAUUCGUUCAUAUUUUUGCUUUUAUGCAAAUGUUCUUAAGUACUCUGAAUAUAGCAUGAUUUGACUAGAUAGGAUCUCUAUUGUUUCUCACACAUAUUUUUAAUUAAUACAUAGAUUGAUAUUUUAGCUAGAGUACAAGAUACCAUUUUACAAAUCCGUUCGAGUUAGUAAUUCAUUUGUAUUAUGUCUAGAUGAUCUCAGUUUUUUUUCUAAGACCUAUUUUUAGUUUAACAGAUAGAUUGAUAAUUUUAAACAAGGUCUUCACGAAUAACAUUUUACUGUUGAUGUUCAGGUCUAGGUUCGCAAGUGGAGGAGGGAUCCAACUUGCAGCCAUAAAUAAUCGAACAAGUACCACUUCAUGGUUAUGGUGAGAUUCUUGAUCCUAGUUGAAGAGUUAAAUUGGUACUUCCAUCGCGUGGUAUCAUUUGACUACAUUUGGAAUAUCUCGUAAUUUUUUUUCAAUCAUUGCAUGAUUGUAUCAUAUGGUGGUAAAAUAUAUUAUGGUGUGAUAAUGGAAAUUCUGGAAUUGGACUAUCACCACAAAGGAUAUAUUGCUCUUUUGAAUGUGAUUGGUUUCACAACCGUAUACACGACAAGUGGGUAAAGAUGCACUAUUGCUAAUUCCGUCUUUUAUAUUGAAGUGUUCCUUCAGAGUACCUCUUUGUUCUUCUAUUUCAGAUUGCAUAACACUUGUACUAAUCCUGAGAUCAUACUUCUUUUCAUGAAAAGAAUGGCAAACAGAGGAGGAUGAGCUGAUGCUGUUAUGCAUGAAGAUUUGCAAAUAGGGAAUGUAAGACAUGUCACAGAAAGGUUGCAUGAAUUCAUUCCAAGUCUUGCGUGGACAAAACAACAAGACAAAGGUGACGGCGGCCUUUGUGUGUUGAUACAUCUUUGCAGAUGUAUGAAGCUAUUUAACAACAAGUUGUGCUUAUCUGUAGGAAAGGCAACACAUCUAAUCAGUCAGCUGUCAAAAUGCCUAGAUGCCGACUAAGAUCUGAGAUCAUAUCACUUACAAAGCAUGACUGGAGGACAUGGCUGCUGAAAACCUGAAUGAUCAUGUGGUACACUUUUCUCACAUUAAAAUGUAUGUAGGUUUCUGAAAUUUGCAAUGUAUUUGACAAUCUUAUAUAUGCAGAUAGAAGUUGAUAGUAAAGUAUGCAGAAGCAACCAUCACAACCGGAAGCAGUCCCCGCAUCUACGAGGUAUUACAUAUUCUUAGAAUUCUGUAAUAUUAGACUAAAGACAAGUUAAUUUUGUUUUCAUUAUCCUCUGGACAAUGCGUAUACGAGCUAGCUCUUCCAAAAUUUAUAUCUUCUGGAUCCCUCGUAUGUUAGGGUCUUGUGGAUGCUACUUUUCUUUAUCUAUAAAGCAGGGUUAUGGCCUGAUUUCUUAAACCAUCAAUAAAAGAGAUCAAGAGAUGCAUAUAUACCAUGGAUGUUGCAACGAUUUACCUUCCUGUAGGCAGCAUUUAACCUGAUUUGCUUGUUCCUGAAACACUCAGGUAAAGGGUUAUCAGAUAUAGAAAUACUUGUAAUAUAAGAAAAAUGAAUAUCCAUGUCCAUCUUUAAUGUUAUCCCAAAAUCUUUGGUGCAAUUAUUCUCUAACUUAUUUCAUAUAUAAAAUUUUCUCUCAUGGUUUAACAAUACUACAUCCAUUUGAGCAUACUAAGAUUCUCUAACCAUGAAAUAUAUUCAGCAAAAAAGGUGGAGCACUUAUCAAAUGAUAUAUUCAUGCUUUAUUGUUUUGUAGUGAAAGAAUAUCUCUUUUGAUAUAUCUCUCCUUUCAAGUAACACAAAACAGUCAGAAACAGUGAUCGACUUGACCAACAUUCUUUUAUUUUGAACAACCUAUAUUCAUUUCAGCAAAUAAUGAUUUAUGGGUGUAUAAAUUUUUUUCUUUUGUUCAAUCACAUUUUUUCCUGAAACCAAGAAGCAGAUAAAAUCAAAGGGUUGUUCAGUUGUUAUACAUUCUCAUAACUAUUGAUUCACACUGUCUAGCAUUAGCACACACUACACAGAACAAACAUGUACAGAAAAACUGAAUGGAGGACACCCUGCAUUGCCACUGGAUUGCUAGUAACUAAUCCUUACCUGCAGUUUUUGGAUGUUCUAUUUACUUCACAGCAAUCAAGAGAAAGUAAUACACCAAAAGAAGAUGACUAUCCGUAAAUAUUUAUAGUGAUAGGUUAUAUCGAUCUUCCUAAUGAUCCAUACAUAUUGCAUGAGUACACACACAUUCUGUUUGUGCCUUGUGCAACGCAAAGUACAGGGCGACACACAUGUUCUUUUCAUUUGAAAUUUUUCUUUUUCUGCCCAUGCUACUUCUACGUUUGGAACAUAUGUUCGUCCGAGCUGAUUUUUUAAUCCAUUUCCUUUUUUGACAGGUCACAGUAUAAUUUCCUUUGCAUCCACAAGUUUCUAGAGGUGUGGUUGUUGAGCUAAAAGGAUCUUCUGCUAGGAUAUUUUUCACUUUUGUCUACGAUGUACUGUAAUACUUAUGAAUCUACAAAUCUAUGUAUGUGUGCAUCUAGACUUGAUAAAUGGUUGUGCUUUUGGCUGUCCUGUUACUGGACUUGUAUGCCCAUGUGUGCAUCUAGGCACGCAUGAUGAAUCUUCUUUGUGCUUUUGGCUAUCCUGCAAUACUGGACUUAUGAACCUACGUAUGCAUGAUGUAGACUUGUGAACUUAUGUAUGGAUGAUGGAUUGCUUAUAUCUAUGCCCAUGUUGUUAUAUAUAUAUUACUGUAUGCAUGUGUGUUAUAUAUAGAUGGCACAAAAUGCAGUGAAGAUAAAUGAUAGCUGUUGGAAUACAUGUAUACAUAUAGGAGAUUAGUGCGUUUGUAGUAGAUGGCAAGUUUUAUUUUUUUGGUUUGUUUUUUCUUUUCGGAUGGCAAUUUUAGUUGUAAAAAAGCCAGGGCCGGAGUGCUUCGUGCCACACUUGUGGCACUUAUAAUUUGGGUUAAUUUAUAGUUGGUAUUUCUUAAUGUGGUAGUUUUUUUUGGUUUCUUCAAACUACUAUGAACUGAAGCAUGCAUAUCUAACUAUUGUUUCCGUAAUUAUUUUUCCACUACAAAUUUACUAUCUCCUAGCUUUGCCAUUUUGGGGACAUUUCAUUAAACCGGGACUUAACCACCUACUCUAAUCAGAGAUUAGAGAUCAGGUGCUACCACAGAUUACAUGCUACCAUUCAUCAAAAAACACAUUUAAAUGUUUAAAAAAAUUUCCAAAAAAAUUGUGAGUGUUCACAAGACAUGCAAUGUUGAGGAUAUCACUUAUCGUUAGCGUCUCGUUUGGCUGGAGAUUAGAGAUUAAUAGGAAAUCAAAUGAUUAAUCAAUUUUAUCGAUUGACUAUUAAUCAUCUAUUUUUUUUACAAAUCUCUGGUUCGCAGCACUAAAAUAUGAUAUAUUCAACACAAAAACAAUAUGGGACUGAAGUGUUACCAUGAUUCCUUGCCUUUGAAUCUUUGUACAAUGACAAACAAUAUAGGACAGCAGCACAUAUUACAUAACAAGGUACACAAAAACAAAUAAACAUAGUUCUUGCACACAUAGUGCUAGAAAUAUGCCCGACUUACCGGUAGAUUCCUGAUAAAUCACUUAUCAGAGCAAUAAACCGGCCCAACGAUAAAUGGUGAGAUAUGGCAUAAUCUUAUCGGUGACCCACCGAGUUGCGAUAAAUUGGUGAAUCGCCGAUUUUUUGAACAGUGGUAUCUAGAUUUCAAAUCCAAAUUCGAAACACACAAGAAGAAACAAAAAAAGACAAAAUCAACAUGAAUAGUGUCACAAAGAGACAAAAGCCAAAAUGACACUAUUCACUUGUGUGUUUUUUGACCCUUGGAUCUCAUAUCAAUGACUAACCUUGCACUGGAGCACCUGAGCUUAGGUGCUCCGGUGGCACCUGAUAUUCUUAAUCAAAGAGGUUUUCAGACGACUUGCUAAUCCAUGAUGACACUGCUACACUGGUCACAUGGACCCAGGUUGGUGUAUUUCUCCUUUCUUUCCCUUUAUAAUUUCUUCAUCUUUGUGCUUGAUGUACAUUGCUAACUUGGGAGGUUACAAACUUUUGCAAACUGGAGGUGUCACAUUGGUUCUUAUACUUUGACCAUCAUUGCACUGAACGGAGCUGCCUAUUUGCCCGGUGAGUGCCCAUGUUGCUGGUUCGAAGGUUCCUACUGGUUCAGACGUAAACAAAAUCAAAGAAACAAGCUAACAGGCACAAUCUGAAUACUGAAACAACAGUAAAUCAUGUGCAUUCUCAGCCAAAUAAAGUUAAGUCUAAUACAAUCUUAGUAGUGAAUCAUGUGUAUGCGUACAGAUAUCUGGAGAUUAGCUGUGAUAGCUCAUAUAGCGGCGGCAAGUCGACCACGUUUGUCCCAGAGAAUCGGUAUUUUUUUUAAAUCUCUCGAACAUAAUGGGUUUACGCAUAAUUGAUGACAAAUAUCUUCACCAGUAACCUUUUGUAUUGCAAUAUUUUCAAACAUUCUGUUAACUCUCUUAUGUUAGUAAAUUAUUCAAAAUUUAUUCAUUUUAUUGAUUUUUUUGAAGACGAAUGAUAAUUUGUUUCACAUGAUAAUAGUACGUGUGUUGCACAUGCACACUUACUAGUUCAAGCCUAAUAAUUAGGAGUACAUUCAACAGUUUUCCUGUAGUAAAGGGGCAAUCCAAAAUACUCCCUCUGUAAACUAAUAUAAAAGCAUUUAGAUAACUACUCUAGUAUUCUAAACGCUCCUAUAUUAGUUUACGGAGGGAGUACUAUCUAAUGAACUAGCAUGCUAGAAUAGAUAAUCAUCAUCACAAGGUGGAACCGUCAAGAGAUGGUUGAUGAAACUGAUGAUGCCAUUGCUCUCUUGAGCCUCCAUUUUUUUUUCUCCUUUCUUGUUUUCAUACUUGUUCACUUGUACUUGAGGCUCCACAUCAUCUAUUUUAUUUUGUUGCACACCAUCCUUUUUCUUGUGUUGCUGCCAAUGAAAAAUGGCUAUGAUUUGUUCAUCGGUCAAACUAGGUCAACGUAGUCUAAAUCUGAUUUUGGACGAAACUUAUCCGGGUUUGAGACUUGAAGGACCAAAUGCCAACCAAAAAAUCUUGAGGGACCAAGUCUAUACUUUUGGAGAAUUUGAGGGACCAAAAACAUACUUUUCUCUAUUAUCUGUUGUUCUAAGUGCACAUGAGUGAUAUUAUUAAUUGCAGCUCUUAUCUUGAGUUAACAUAACUUUUGACCACGUCUACAUAUUGUGAUAUACAGUCCAGCAUUACCAUGUUGCAGAAUUUUCUCAAUAUGAAAUAUUUAAUGUUCUUACAUUGGUGCAUAAUCUGUUUUUAUUAUAUGGAACAUAACUUUGUUUGAACAUGUAUGACGAAUAUCCAAUUCUGAUGAAUAUGAUUCCUUUUAUCAAAACAAACACAAAUCUUAUACUGAAUAGCCAAGAUUGUUGAUAACAAUCAGUGACAAAUGUUUAGAGUUGCUGUUUUUAUUGAAUUUACAUCUCAUGUGUAUGGAACAGUUUAGGUUGUUCCAAAAUUCUCAUAUGGACGCACCGGUUCCCUUUUAAUUUCAAUAUAGUCCACUGAUGUAGCUUGUGCAGUAUCUACCUUUCCCAAAUAAUAGAAAAAAGGUAUGUAAUGUAGAAAAAAUAUGGUCAAAAUAAGUGAACCCUGAUUCUUAUUUCCAAAAAUAAAGUGCAAAAAAUGAUUGCUUCUUUUUAUUUUCUAUAUCAUAAUUAAAGCUGAACUUGUUGUCCAAUUAACAGGUUGGUUACUGGAUUACUAUCUCCCGGAUGUGACGUCCGGCGACCACAGUCUGAUUAUUGUGCUGAAGGUCUAGACACCGAUGAGACCCUCAGUUGAUGGGGAAAUAGUUGGUCAGGCUAAAACGAUCCAAACUUGGUAGCUAUAGUUUGCAUAGUCAUUUUGUCCAUGGAUUUGCACAAGACCUAUAUAGAGUAAUUUGCCAAUGUUCUUCAAAGAGCUUCCGUAUAUGUUAUUUUGUUAAGUACCUUGGGGUUCGAGGUCUAGAGCUACAAGUAUUUGCAACUAGAAUGUGGUCCGUAUGCUAAUUCAAGCUGAUGUGCAUGCUCACUGAACUUUUGAAAUGAAUGGAUGAAUUCUUUACCAGAGCAAAUGGGGUCUCUCCAGUAAGACCCGCCGCAGUUAAUUCACUGGUUUGAACUUUGUGUAACUUGUUAUAUGUGUCUCCCAGACUAAAACAUUUCUAUCACUAAAAAAAAGACACAUCCGUGACAUUUUGGGCCGAAUGAAUUUUUUUCUGUCAUAUUUAUGACACUUCUAUGACGAUAAUUGUGACAAACCCGGUGUCAUCAUAGAUGUGGUGGGCUCCUACUUCUAUGACAAAAAAUCAUGACACAAAAUGGGUUGUUCGUCCUGGGUGGGCCGGAGAUGCAGCUGCAUGACAUUCUUUGGGCCGUCUAUGACGGAAAAAACCGUGGUAGAAGCGAGGGCGAGGAAAAUAUCGGGGUGUUCCCAGUUACGGUGGGUGGUCGGGGCCGAGCGAUGCGCGUUUCUCUCGUACACGCACGCGCGUGGGUGUGAGGCAUUGGGCUCUAACUGAACCCGAGCGAGGCAUUGGGCUCUAACUGAACCCGAGCGAUUGCACUGCAGGCUACGCAUUACUGAACCCGAGCGAUCGAUCGAUGGCUGUUAACUGAACCCGAUCGAGCGAUUCCUUCGCUACUGCUGCUAACUGAAGCCGAUCGAUCCUGCCUCUGGAUGAAUAGUGANNNNNNNNNNNNNNNNNNNNNNNNNNNNNNNNNNNNNNNNNNNNNNNNNNNNNNNNNNNNNNNNNNNNNNNNNNNNNNNNNNNNNNNNNNNNNNNNNNNNNNNNNNNNNNNNNNNNNNNNNNNNNNNNNNNNNNNNNNNNNNNNNNNNNNNNNNNNNNNNNNNNNNNNNNNNNNNNNNNNNNNNNNNNNNNNNNNNNNNNNNNNNNNNNNNNNNNNNNNNNNNNNNNNNNNNNNNNNNNNNNNNNNNNNNNNNNNNNNNNNNNNNNNNGAUCGAGCCGGUUGGGGCUGGAUGAACAGGACCCUGUGGAGGGCUGGAUGAACAGGACCACCCCGUGGAGGGCUGGAAGAACAGUAGACGGUGGAGGGCUGGAUGAACAGUAGCCCGUGGAGGGGUGGUUGAACAGGAGCCCGUGGAGAGGGCUGGUUGAACAGUAGCCGGUGGAGUAGUGCGAGGUGGAGGCUGGAUGAACAGGAGCCCGUGGAUGAAUAGUCGCAGGUGAAGGCUGGAGGAGGUUGACGGUGGAUGAACAGUAGCCCGUGGAGGCCGGAGGGGGUCGACGGUGGAGAUGAACAGUAUCCCAUGGAUUCCCGUUUUGCGGUACGCCACACCCCUCCCGAUGAACAGGACCCCGUUUCGACCGUAGCGCUCCAACACAAGUCCGUUUCCUUUGUUUUGCGGUACGCCACACCCCUCCCGGUGAACAGGACUCCCGUUUCAACCGUAGGAGGUUCGUUUCCUCCGUUUUGAGUACGCCAGACCCCUCCCGGUGAACAGGAUCCCGUUUCGACCGUGGCCGGUCGAACACAAGGCCGUUUCCUCCGUUCUGCGGUACGCCAUGCCUUGUUUCCAUCGGCUGUUCCGUCCAAACCCUCCCGAUGAACACGACGACGCAUUCCGUUCCAACCCAGCCGGUUGGCUCCCCAUGAACACGACGAUGACGCUGUUUCUCCGUUCCGACCCAGCCAUGUACACAAGCCUUGGCCGUACGUACGUGCGAGUAGGCGUUCGAGACCCCCCCGUAUGUACGUACGUGGCCAUAUUUACUUUGUUGCACCAUGGCCGCUGUACGUACAUGUACAUGCUACGUGCGCGCCUCUACUACGACACGUGCACGCUCUACAUCGACCAGUAUGUACGUACACCUUCGCGACCAGAAUGACAACGCUACGUACGCUUUGACCAGGUGGGUCCCGACUGUCAGGCACUCCCUUGCGUGCGAAGAUGUAGCUGGUGGGUCCCAGCAGUUAGGGGGGUGAAUCGUUUUUUUGCCCGGACGCACUUCCUUGCGUGCGAAGAUGUAGCUGGUAGGUCCCAGCAGUCAGGGAGGAAACGUUUUUUUUCACGAAAUACGGUUGCCCGUCCGGUGGGUCCCUGCUGUCAGGUGGAGGAAUCAUUAUUUUCCGUGUAAUAAGGAGGCAGCUGUCAGCCUCUCCACGUACAGUCCACGUCCGAUGGAAGCCGUUCCUUGACCACGUUUACCACGCCGUGCCGAGAGCACCAGGGCGGUGGACGACGGCGAGGCCUAGGAAAGGGACGACGCGGAGCCGGGGAGGACGCGGCAUUGGAUGCCCACGCGUAGAGGAGUAUGAGGGUUCACUGGUUCGGCUGCGGUGUGAGGCUGCCGUCGCCGUAAAAUAACAGGGGGUGUGUGUGAGUAGAGGGAUGGCCUUGCCAGCGGUGGGAGUAGUAGGGGUCGGUGAGGCCUCCGCGGCAUCACAGCUGGCCAUGGGAGGCAGGAGCACGCGGCACGACCGGCGCUGGUUUGGUCGGCUGGUGCAAGAAGACCAGAGGUUGAAGAAGCACUACGGCCGUUGGAUGGACAUUGUACGGUCACUGGAGCUAGAAUCAUUCAUAUUGACUAAGUUGACAAAGCUCUCCGUCCCCGUCAACUUAGUAGGCCCACAAGUCAGCCUCCCACCAAGGUGGGUCCCAGCUAGCAGGGGGAGUAUUCAUUUUUUUCUGCGUAAUAAGGAGGCACUUCCGGUGGGUCCAAGCUGACAGCGGGGGGAACGCUUUUUUCGCGAAAUACGGUGGCCCGUCCGGUGGGUCCCAGCAGUCAGGGGGGAAACGUUUUUUUGCAAAAUAUGGUGGCCCGUCCGGUGGGUCCCUGCUGUCAGGUGGAGGAAUCAUUAUUUUUCACGUAAUAAGGAGGCACUUCCUUACUGCGGCCAUGGACCCAGCUGUCAGCCUCUCCACAUACAGUACACUUCUGAUGGAAGUCGUUUCUUGACCACGUUGACCACGCCGCGUUCUGUUGCAUGCAUGCGUCCAUGGGCGUGCUGCGUCCCCACUGUCAGCCUCUCACGUACAGUCAUCUUCCGAUCACUCGGUUGUUCACCAUGUUGACCACACCGUGCCGAGCACACCAAGGCCGGUGGACGACGGCGAGGCCCCAGACUGGAACGACCCGGAGAUGGGGAAGACGGGGCAGUGGAGUCGCAGAUGGAGAGGAGUGGGAAACUUGACAGGUUCGGGUGCGCGCAGCACAGCCACGGUGCCGCCCACGGGAGACAGGAGCAAGAACAGAGGUUGAAGAAGGAGCACGGCUGUUGGAUUAACAUACAACGGUCCAGCUGCUAGAAUCAUUUGUUGAUUAAGUUGACAAAGCCCUGCGUACAUGUCCGCUUAGUAGGCCCACAAGUCAGCCACCAAAUCUGACGGGUCCCAGCUGUCAAUGGGAGGAAUAAUUUUUUUCGUAUAACAAGGAGGCACUUCCUUCCGUGCAAAGAUACAGCCGGUGGGUCCCAGCUGUCAGGUGGAGGAAACAUUUUUUUCAGCUUAAUAAGGAGGAACUUUCCAUGCGUGCGACCAUGGACCUCGUGGGUCCCAGCCGUCAGGCUCUCCACGUACAGUCCUCUUCCGAUGACUCUCGUUUGUUGACCACGCCGCACCGAGCGCAACGAGGCGGUGGACGACGGCGAGGCCCCGGACGGGAACGACUCAGAGAUGGGAAGACGCUGCAGUGGAGUCGCAGAUUGAGAGGAGGAGAAGAGUUAUAACUGGUUCUGGUGCGGCGUGGGGCUGCAGUCGGUGGAGAAUAACAGGAGGUGUGGAGGGGUGGAGGGAUAGCCUGGCCGGCGGUGGGGUAGCGCUUCGCAGUGAUGUGUGCUAAGCAGAGCCGUUAGCCGCCGGAGGCCGGACCAGGCGGUCCCGGCGACGCUGGAGGAAGAAGACAAGAGAUUGAAGGUGCAUGCCGGCCGUUGGAUAUAAAUCCAAUGGCUGUGGAUGUCAUAAUCAUUUGUUGACCAAAUUGACAACGCCCUGCGUAGGCUUCGACCUAUUGGCCCACAUGUCAGCCUGCAAAAAUGCGGCAUAUAUUUAACCCAUGUUUUCUAGAAUGUACAGUCCAUUUGCUGGGCUGGGUGAACAAAUAAUUUCGCAUCAGUGCGGCCCAUUUAUAUUUUCUAAGGAAUCCUAGCCCAUUUGCACUUCCUUCAAAUACACGAAUUAGCUGUGCUCGUUAUAUAUAUAAUGUUAUGUUAGAAGGAGCAAUUAAUAUCAAAAAAUAAACCGGAGAGGCACAUUUUUUAUAUACAUAAUUAACAAAUUAGCGAGUUAUUGCUCAAAAUAAAAAUGAGUGCGUUAUUAUUACAAUGGUCCUUAAAAUCUUCACAAGCUUUUGUACGCAAUCAUCAGGAUUUUCCUUGCCUGUGAGUCAAAAACAACCAGGAUUUUCCUUGCCAAAUUCUGUUAAACAUUUACUUUUAUAAGUUAAUAACACGUGGGAUGUUUUUAUAAUGUAUAUAUAAGUCUCUAUAAAAUAUAUGAUAAUAGUAAUAAUAUAAAUAUAUAUAAUGUGGUUAAAAAAAUACAUUGGGCUGCCGAUCUUUAAGAAAAAGCCCAUAGGCCGGUAUGGACCUUAAAAAAUAAGUUGAAACCACUGUCACCGUAUGUCGUGGGCUACAGAUGUUAAAAUACAAAACCUAGGCCUAGCUGAUACUUGUUCGCCCUCUGGGAAAAAAUUCAUACCAGAUCCCCGAGCGAACUGGAUUAAAGAGGGGGCCGGCGGCACGACUGAAGAAGCACAUCAGGAGCGAUUUUUUUCUUUAGUGGAUGGCUCUCGAUGGCAUUUUUUUACUUGCCUCUGCACCAUACAACUUCUAUUUUUAGCCUCCCAGUCCAUGGUGGACCAGCAGCCCAUUUGCUGGGCGGGCCAACCUACAGAAACCAGCACUCAAUUUUUCAUCAAGCCCCAAAAACAACGCAGUACUAUGUUUGUUUUGAGGCCGAAAACAUUACGGCAGGGGUUGAGCGGGGGAGGGGGCAAGACAGAGCAAAAAGAUUAAAAAGAGCUGAUGCGCCGUUGCUACCCUAACAAAGCAGGUGCAAUUCUUCUCGGGAAGAAGGUGUGCCGUUGACACCCACACGUCACAUACCCCACAGUAGGCAUACUAACAAGUUCACACACAAGUACAACGGAAAAGGUAAACAUUCGUAUCAAACUUAGGUUCACAGGACACGUUCAUAUUCAUAGCCAACAUUCAC